GAUGAACGCUAGCGGCAGGCCUAACACAUGCAAGUCGAGGGAGAAGCCCUUCGGGGCAGAAACCGGCGCACGGGUGCGUAACGCGUAUGCAACCUACCUUUCACAGGGGGAUAGCCCGAAGAAAUUUGGAUUAAUACCCCAUAAUAUUAUUGGAUGGCAUCAUUUGAUAAUUAAAAUUACGAUGGUGAAAGAUGGGCAUGCGUCCUAUUAGCUAGUUGGAGUGGUAACGGCACCCCAAGGCUACGAUAGGUAGGGGUCCUGGAGGGAGAUCCCCCACACUGGUACUGAGACAGGGACCAGACUCCUACGGGAGGCAGCAGUGAGGAAUAUUGGUCAAUGGUCGGAAGACUGAACCAGCCAUGCCGCGUGCAGGAAGAAUGCCUUAUGGGUUGUAAACUGCUUUUAUAUGGGAAGAAUAAAGGCGUAACGUGUACGUUGAUGACGGUACCAUAU
rnacentral:rRNA from 1 species